CUAAUAAUUAUGCACACCUGAUAUAGGGUGUUGAUGUCAUUAGACCACACCCCUUCUCAUUACAGAGAUGCACAUCACCUAAUAUGCUUAAUUGGUAGUAGUCUUUCGAGCCUAUACAGCUUGGAGUAAGACAACAUGCAUAAAGAGGAUGAUGUGGUCAAAAUACUCAUUUGCCUAAUAAUUCUGCACUCCCUGUACAGAAUGC